GCUUCCGUAGGUUAAUGGCAGACCUCAGCAAUGGUAAUGCCGCAGUGCGAGUUCGAUUCUCAUGGAAGCA
rnacentral:tRNA from 1 species